UUUCCGUAGGUGAACCUGCGAGAGGAUCAUUACCGAGUUGCGCUCCUAACGGAGACUCCUCCACCCUGUGUUAAUUGAUAUUUGUUGCUUUGGUGGGCCGUCUUAAUGCCGCUGGCAAUGCUGGUGUGCGCCCGCCAAAGAUAUUUAUCAUCAAUAUAUUUGUUGUCUGAGCGAAAAUUUAAAUGCCCAAAACUUUCAACAACGGAUCUCUUGGUUCUGGCAUCGAUGAAGAACGCAGC
rnacentral:misc_RNA from 1 species